GUUCGACUCGCUCAAUCAUAUUGACUCCUGUUGGUGCCAGUCUAACUGUUGUUCAACUAACUGUAUAUUAUACAGCCAGCCAUACCUCAAGAUGAAAUCUGCUACAGUUAUUUUAGCCUUUGCUGUUGCCCUGUGUGUUAUGUUUCAAGUAUCAGACGCUACCAUUGCAAGAUGCCAGUGUGGAGGAAGAUGUGGAACAUUUACAUGUAGUAAUCCAGAUACUGUUAGAGGUUGUAACUGUGUUAGUUGUACCUGUACGCGUGGAAGUAUAGGAUUCAGAACAUGUUGUGCCAGUGAUUGUGGUAUGUGGAACCAGAGGAAAUGUUUCCGAUGCAAACCUUAUCGAAGCUGUAGCUGUAGUGGAUGCCGAUAAAACAAAAUAUGGUGCCAAUAAAUGUAUUUUCUGGAAGACUAAGAAAUGCUCCUAUUCUGUAACAGUAAUAGAUGCAGAUAAAGCCAUAACAAAAAAGCCUUAUAUACAAAAGUUAUUAAUGUAUAAAUAUUUAAAAUGUUGUACCAAAUAUUGUGGGGGGUUUUUAAAGUAAGAAAUGUCUUCUAUACAAACUAUCAAGCUGUAAUUGUAAUGGAUGUCGAUAAAAAAAACCACACUCCAUUUUUAUUUAUAUUAAUUGAAUAAAGCUUUCUGCAACUGUUA